rnacentral:rRNA from 1 species
AAACGCUGAAAGCAUCUAAGCGUGAAGCCGGCCCCAAGAUGAGAUAUCCCAUCGAAAGAGUAAGACCCCACAAAGACUAAGUGGUUGAUAGGUCAGGAGUGUAAGCACAGUAAUGUGUUAAGCGGACUGAUACUAAUAGGUCGAGGGCUUGACCAA